rnacentral:rRNA from 1 species
AUACGGAGGGUCCAAGCGUUAUCCGGAAUCAUUGGGUUUAAAGGGUGCGCAGGCGGUUUAUUAAGUCAGUGGUGAAAUCUCGGGGCUCAACCUCGAAACUGCCAUUGAUACUGAUAAACUUGAGUUCAGUUGGAGUAGGCGGAAUGUGUAGUGUAGCGGUGAAAUGCUUAGAUAUUACGCAGAACACCGAUAGCGAAGGCAGCUUACUAAACUGAUACUGACGCUGAGGCACGAAAGCGUGGGGAGCGAACAGGAUUAGAAACCCCGGUAGUCC